CACCCCGCCCCUUCCAGGCGCGGGUGUGCCGUAGCCUCAGCCUUUGCUCCUAACCCGGAAGCUACAGAUCGCUGUUGAGAGUUUGAAUUUGUCUCUGGGUGUUGCACAGUGCUGUGUGGUGGAACACCUGCCUGAAAAGCAAAUUACCUGGAAUGCAAAGAAAACUCGUUCACUGACUGAUUCUUCAGCCUCAUUUACUGUUGUUUCAACUUUAAGGAGAAGCCAGAAGUUGCACGUUGUCAGAUCUCAUGAAUUAGGAUUAGGAUGAGGAUACACCAUAAUGUGUUCAUGAGCUUGCUUUUCUGUUGGAUGGCACUUGGUAGCAGCAUUCACCAUAUUUCUCACCACGCCUCAUAAAGACAUUCAUGAAACAGGACUUCCAAAACUGCUUCAGGAAAUGCCAAGAAUGAUGGAUAAGUAUGUUGGAAGGGGAGGAACUAUUUUGUGGAUGAUUAAUGACAAUGUGUCUUUUACUGUAAUAAACUCUUGAAAUUCAA